UUGAAGAAACAUAAGACAAAA
ensembl:piRNA 21ur-155 ncRNA